rnacentral:rRNA from 1 species
UAGUGGCGAACGGGUGAGUAACACGUGGGCAAUCUGCCCUUCACUCUGGGACAAGCCCUGGAAACGGGGUCUAAUACCGGAUAACACCUGCCCGGGCAUCCGGGUGGGUUAAAAGCUCCGGCGGUGAAGGAUGAGCCCGCGGCCUAUCAGCUUGUUGGUGAGGUAGUGGCUCACCAAGGCGACGACGGGUAGCCGGCCUGAGAGGGCGACCGGCCACACUGGGACUGAGACACGGCCCAGACUCCUACGGGAGGCAGCAGUGGGGAAUAUUGCACAAUGGGCGAAAGCCUGAUGCAGCGACGCCGCGUGAGGGAUGACGGCCUUCGGGUUGUAAACCUCUUUCAGCAGGGAAGAAGCGAAAGUGACGGUACCUGCAGAAGAAGCGCCGGCUAACUACGUGCCAGCAGCCGCGGUAAUACGUAGGGCGCAAGCGUUGUCCGGAAUUAUUGGGCGUAAAGAGCUCGUAGGCGGCUUGUCACGUCGGGUGUGAAAGCCCGGGGCUUA